rnacentral:lncRNA from 1 species
GCCUGUCUUGAUCCCACUCCCCUGGUGCCCCCAGCCGGAGCUCCCAGCAUCACGGGUGCGUGGCUGGUCUCUGCUAGGUCCCCCCGGGUCCGGCAGGAGCAGGGAGGGUGCGUGGGUGACACGCAGGGGGCUGUUUGUGUGGGACUGACCACCCCGCUUUUCCCCCAGCCAGAGGAGGUGGCCCAGGAGGCUGUGGAGGAGCCGCUGGUCGAGCCGCUGCUGGAGCCGGAGGGGGAGAACUACGAGGAGCCCCCACAGGAGGAAUACCAGGAGUACGAGCCAGAGGCAUAAUGGACCCCCGUCCUUGCCUCUUCCACCAGCAGCACAACGAACCGCCGUUCCGUUCCAAGGGACCGUGUCCGUGUCUCCGUACCGUGUCUAGCAGUGAGAAACCCGCUGUGUCCAAGCCCCGGAGCCCCGGCGCGUGCCCGAGCCGUGGGUGCUGCCCGCAGGGGCCGGUGUGCGUGCGUGUGUGCGUGCGUGUGUGCCCGCCGAGCCCGGGUUUAUCGCCCUGUGUCCCUCCCAGCGCCAUAAACCCGGCUGCUCCCGGCGUGUCUGUGUCUGUACAAAGCAUGUUGACCUGCUCGCGGGCUGCUGUACAUUCCGCUUGCACGCGUGUCCCCGUGGUUCUGCUCUGGUCGUCGUGGAACUAUUUUUUUUUUAUAUAUAUAUCUCUAUCUAUGGGUGGACGGGUCUUUUGCCUUUGUGAGCCCUGGGCGCCCCAGCCCGCUCCCCAGCCUGCUGGGUGGUGACGGUGCCCGUGCCCCCCCUCCCUCUGCCCCCGAGGUCCCGUAGUGCCGACGCUGUGUUGUGACGUGGCAUGGAUAUCCCCUCGCCCCCGUCGCUGGAUGUGCAAUACGAGGGCAGCUGCCAGUGACACAGCUGCCCCUGUGUCCGUGAAUAAAGCCAACUCUUGUCUGUAGCCCCCUGGUCCU